CGUUCAUUUCCGGGCCUGACAGUGGAGGUGCGUGACAGUGGAGGUGCCUUGUUUGAGUAAACAGGCUUUAUUCAGCCCGCCUCUGCUCCAACCAAAGGUGGAUGGUUACUUCACAUCAGCUCUUCAGAGACUCGUGGGUGACGUCACUGUGUCUACAUUCAUUUUUUUUAUUCAGGUUGGCUGCUGUCUAAGCUGAUGGAUGUGUCCUACAGGAGCCUCACUCUCCCUAACAGCCGACACAUCGACGAAAGCCACUGCAUCUCAAAACAAGGACAGCUUGAUUGAUUCAUUUCCGUGCCGUUGCCUUCAUUUGUAAUUACUGUUAUAUUUUUAUGUCGUUACCACAACCGGCUCUCCCACAGGCUGAUGGAUAAUACAUCUCUAUCCAUUCUUGCACUGGGUUUAAUUGUGUCUCUGUAAUGCAAAUUCGCUAAGUUUAUUAAAGGCUGAGUUUCC